rnacentral:rRNA from 1 species
GUGGUAAUUCUAGAGCUAAUACAUGCCAAAAACCCCGACUCCGGAAGGGGUGUAUUUAUUAGAUAAAAAACCGAUGCCCUCCGGGGCUCCUUGGUGAUUCAUAAUAACUCAACGAAUCGCAUGGCCUUGCGCCGGCGAUGGUUCAUUCAAAUUUCUGCCCUAUCAACUUUCGAAGUGAGGGUAGUGGCCUCACUUGGUUUCUACGGGUAACGGGGAAUUAGGGUUCGGUUCCGGAGAGGGAGCCUGAGAAACGGCUACCACAUCCAAGGAAGGCAGCAGGCGCGCAAAUUACCCAAUCCCGACACGGGGAGGUAGUGACAAUAAAUACUGAUGAUGAGCUCCUUUGGGUUUAUCAAUUGGAAUGAGUACAAUCUAAAUCCCUUAACGAGGAACAAUUGGAGGGCAAGUCUGGUGCCAGCAGCCGCGGUAAUUCCAGCUCCAAUAGCGUAUAUUAAAGUUGUUGCAGUUAAAAAGCUCGUAGUUGAAACUUGGGUCUGGCUGACCGGUCCGCCUAACCGCGUGCACUGGCUCGGCCGGGCCUUUCCUUCUGGGGAGCCUCAUGCCCUUCACUGGGUGUGCAGGGGAACCAGGACUUUUACUUUGAAAAAAUUAGAGUGUUCAAAGCAGGCCUAUGCUCGAAUACAUUAGCAUGGAAUAAUAGAAUAGGACGUGCGGUUCUAUUUUGUUGGUUUCUAGGACCGCCGUAAUGAUUAAUAGGGAUAGUCGGGGGCAUCUGUAUUCAAUUGUCAGAGGUGAAAUUCUUGGAUUUAUUGAAGACAAACUACUGCGAAAGCAUUUGCCAAGGAUGUUUUCAUUAAUCAGUGAACGAAAGUUAGGGGAUCGAAGACGAUCAGAUACCGUCGUAGUCUUAACCAUAAACUAUGCCGACUAGGGAUCGGACGGUGUUAUUAUUUUGACCCGUUCGGCACCUUACGAGAAAUCAAAGUUUUUGGGUUCUGGGGGGAGUAUGGUCGCAAGGCUGAAACUUAAAGAUAUUGACGGAAGGGCACCACCAGGCGUGGAGCCUGCGGCUUAAUUUGACUCAACACGGGGAAACUCACCAGGUCAGGACAGAAUAAGGAUUGACAGAUUGAAAGCUCUUUCUUGAUUUUUUGGGUGGU